UUCCAGGAACUGUCAAAGCCCCGGGCCGGCCCCGGCCGCGCCGACGACGCAACGAGCGCCAGGUGCCGCGGGGCCGCCCGGGCACAGCCGCGCCUCGUCGGGAGCCCCGGGCGGGGGCGGGGGGCGGGGCCCGCCCCAAAGCCUCUUAAGCUCCGCCGGAGGCCACGGGGAGCUACGAGGCAAUUCGCGAGGGGUUCUUCUCUCGUGGGAGUGGGGGGGGGUGCCGCUUUUGCAUGGAAUCUUCGGGGUUCUCUUAGACAUUCUCCCCGCGCCGCUUCGUUUCGGACUGCGGCGAGAGCUCUCAUGCUAAGGACCGGCCCCGACGGGAGCGGGGAUGCGGCGGGAGGCCGCCGUGUUCUCGCCCCGCUCGUUUCGGGGCCGGCGCUGGGCUUCCUCCGGGCUGCCCCGGCUUCUCCGGAGCCGGCCUCACGUCGCCGCUGCUCGGUUCCCCGAGUCCCGCUGCGGCCUUGCGGCGCUCUCGGCCCCACCCGGUUCGUUUGAUUCUUUUCCUGUUUUCGUUCCAGCGAGCGAGUUCUUCAGUUCUCUCCGCCCUCCUCGGGGGAAGCCAGCGGGACGAGGCCGACCGUCUCCGACAUCGGCGCCGCUCGAAGCCAAGCGUUCUCCUCUUGCAGGCGGAGCCAGGGCUGCGGCGGAGCGCCCGACCGCCCGAAGCAUCGUGAUCUGGGUAGCGGCGAGCGUUCGGCAGUCGCUGGGCGCAACUCCAGGAGCGCGAUCUCGUUCCCACGGCGGAGACGCGGCGGGGCGGCUCGCGGGACCGGCACGCUGCUGCGGCUGGCCGCGUCGUCCUGAGAACAGACGGAGCGGCGAGGCGGCGGAGUCGCUCUUCCCGCGGGAGAAGCGGCAGGCAUUGAGCCGUGCCCGCGGAUGGAUGCAGAACGACUGCAGCGCCGACGCGGGAGGAAAACGGGGGGGGACGAUCAUGCAGCACGGAUGCGUUGUGACUUUGCCUCUUACAGGAGCUGCUCGGAGGCAUCGCUCCGCAUGGGAAGGGGUCCCGCGAGCAGCUGCGAUUGAAGCUGGAAGUUUUGUUCCUGCGUGCUCAGAGGGGUGCGUGCCCAAGAGGAAGAACUAG
rnacentral:lncRNA from 1 species